AUUAAGAUUGUUUUUAAAUUUGAAAUUCCGUUAGAGACAUCGUUUUUAAAUGUCAAAUUCGGUUAAGAGAUUCCUUCAUUUUGUUCUAUUAUCUCUAUUGCAUGCCUGAUGUGCCAGAGUUUUGUCCUCUCUGUUGUUGUGAUUGUCAAAUGUUUUGAUCUUUUUCUCUGUUCAGUUUUUUUUUCGGGUGUUUCUUUUGUUUGGUGGUGUACAGCGUGCACGCUGGUUUUUCUGUUCAUCUUAUUCUCAGAGUGUUUGUUUUGUUUGGUGGCGUUCAGUGUUUUUUCAAAAAAAAAUUUGCUUAUUUAGUGUUACAUUUUUGUGGCAUAGUAGAGGAAGAGACAUAACAGAGGAAGAGGCAGAGGCAGAGGCAGAGCAACCGAGGGCAAUUUCUUCUUCUUCCAGAGGGUAGUAAUUGCACAGGACAGGCCGAGAGGAGUCUUCUAGUAGGGCGUGGUCGUGCCCUGACAACUUAUUACCAACUGAUAUGGUAAAAUUGAAGAUAGUGAUGGUGACGGUGCCAAUGGGGGUAAGCUUCCUGAAAAUGAUGAAGAGAAAAAGCCUAAACAGAGGAAGCCUAAGAAGCCAAAGGUCACUUUGUCUGAAGCAGCAGCGAAAAUUGAUCAUGGAAAUCUUGUUGAUUUUCUUACAGAAGUCAGAUAAUGCAUGAAAUCUCUGCAGCUUUGGAUUGUGAUUUUCACACAUUCAUGUUUUAUUGGUUGAUCAGUAAAUCCAUUUUCUCUUUUAUUCACUUGAAAUUCUAAAGCUAAAUGAAAUUUUUAUCCUCAUUUUUCUUUGUAUUUCUAUGACAUGGGCUCUUUUAGCGUUCAAUUUUAUUUUCAGGAAUUAUACGUUUUCGUAUUUCUUUUUCAUUUGCAUGGUUUAAUGUCACUAGAUCUCUGGCCAUUUUACUUAUUGCAAUCAUAGAUGAAACGUUAAGCCUUGUUUUGUUAUAUAAUUUUAGUAAAGUAGUCAAUAUUAUGGCCUAGGGUUUUGAUAUUUUUGUCAUGUUCUGUAAAAAGGGUUUCUAGUACAAAGGAACUUUUACGGUUCUUGAUUGCACAUUUAUGCAUCAUUGCUUGUUAGCAAUAAUCCUGAUGUCGCCAAACGGGGAAUCUUUGUCCAGGCAAUGUUUUUAUCAUCUAUUGUGAAGUAUUAUGCAAUUUUUAAUUUCCAUGUGAACUUGUUAGUGUUUCUGCAGGACAAAAUCAACAAUAGAAUUAUAAAAUACAUAAAAAAAAAUGGUUUUAAUAUUCAUUUUCGUUUUAAAUUUACAGGAAUCAUAUGGAAACGCACCUAAUGUGCAAUUAAAGCGAUUUGCGGAUUAUUUUGCAAGUGCAUUUGUUGCUGUUAACCUUGCCCAGUUUCGUAACAAUAAAAUACUGAAAGAGUCUACUGUGGCCAAGCUUGCAGAAUUUCUGAAGCUGUUUGUAAGACUGGAUGAAUCAACAGCCAUCAGAGGCUCUGAAGGAAUUCAUGUUGUGGGCUCUAGGUAGUGUCUUGCAAGAUGGAGCCACUCAUCAGGAAGGCCACAGAGGAUCAAGCAAACACAACUAGUUGUAGUUAAAGGAGCGUGUCUUGCAAGAUGUAGCCACUCAUCAGCCAGGCCACAAAGGAUCAAGAAAACACAACUAGUUGCAGUUAAAGGAGCGAUAGCGAUAUUUGUGAUCUUAGCAAUGCUAUUGAGGAAGAGGCCUGACCUCUUGUUGCAACUCUCAUCAACAAUAAAAAUUGAACCACAGUUUCAGGGCCAGGACAAAGUGUACAUGAUUGAUUGUUUGGGCCAUCACACAGGUUGGUUUAAUUCAAAUAAGCCACUUAACCAAUGAACCUUGUCGGUGCCUCAAUUCUUUGUUCGUUAUGUUCAUGAUUGAAAGUUAUUGCUUACACUUGAUCACAUUCCAAACCCAUGGCCCCUGAGGUUCGGGGUCGAGCCUUGUCUGCUACUUGUUUUAAGCUCAAGUCGACACGCACACACAUUGAGAAUUAUGUGUGAAAUGGAAGCUUGUGAAGCAAGUGGUGAAGGACGUUUUCCAGACAUUAGAUGUUGGAUGUGGCCAAAUCAAGUGUAGGCGCACAGAGAGUUAAGAACCUACGCAUCAUAUUUUGUGCCUUCUGUCGAGAGAAAAAGAAUGGGUUGGUCUUGGAAGAGGUGGGUUGAAGGCCACUCUCCCAACAAUGGGUGUCAGUUUGAUGACAAGAAGAGUGGUAAGGGAUGUGAUUAGAUCAUUUCUUUAGUACCAUUUUGGUCAAGGGUAUUGACCUAAUAGCACUGUAACAUGAUCAACGGUAUUGGCCUAAUAGAAUUGUAACAUGGUCAAGGGUAUUGACCUAAUAGCAUUGUAACAUGUACUAAAAUAAUGAUUAAUAAAAAAAAUUAUUGGAAGGGGAUAAAAAUCCCUUCCAAAGACCAAAGGGAAUAAUCAAUGGUCAUGGUUAUUCCUUAAGGUCGAGUGUUUGUCUCGUAGCUUAAACAAUGAU